GACGAACCGUGCAAACGUUGUUCGGAAUCACUGGGCUUAAAGGGCGCGUAGGCGGGCAAGCAAGUCGAAGGUGAAAUCCCACGGCUCAACCGUGGAAGUGCCCCCGAUACUGCUUGUCUUGAGGGAGAUAGGGGCGUGCGGAACUUCCGGUGGAGCGGUGAAAUGCGUAGAUAUCGGAAGGAACACCGGUGGCGAAAGCGGCGCGCUGGAUCGCUUCUGACGCUGAGGCGCGAAAGCCAGGGGAGCAAACGGG
rnacentral:rRNA from 1 species